GAUGAACGCUGGCGGCGUGCUUAACACAUGCAAGUCGAACGGGAAACCUUUUAUUGAAGCUUCGGCAGAUUUCGCUGGUUUCUAGUGGCGGACGGGUGAGUAACGCGUGGGUAACCUGCCUUAUACAGGGGGAUAACAACCAGAAAUGGUUGCUAAUACCGCAUAAGCGCACAGGACCGCAUGGUCCGGUGUGAAAAACUCCGGUGGUAUAAGAUGGACCCGCGUUGGAUUAGCUAGUUGGCAGGGUAACGGCCUACCAAGGCGACGAUCCAUAGCCGGCCUGAGAGGGUGAACGGCCACAUUGGGACUGAGACACGGCCCAGACUCCUACGGGAGGCAGCAGUGGGGAAUAUUGCACAAUGGGGGAAACCCUGAUGCAGCGACGCCGCGUGAAGGAAGAAGUAUCUCGGUAUGUAAACUUCUAUCAGCAGGGAAGAUAGUGACGGUACCUGACGAAGAAGCCCCGGCUAACUACGUG
rnacentral:rRNA from 1 species